GACGAACGCUGGCGGCGUGCUUAACACAUGCAAGUCGAACGAAGUGGCGCACGGGUGGGUAACGCGUAAUCAACCUGCCCUUCAGAGGGGGACAACAGUUGGGAACGACUGCUAAUACCGCAUACUGAAGGAGGGGAUUGCGGCUGAUUAGCUAGUUGGAGGGGUAACGGCCCACCAAGGCGAUGAUCAGUAGCCGGUCGUAGAGGAUUGACGGCAAAAAUGGGACUGAGACACGGGCCCGACUCCUACGGGAGGCAGCAGUUGGGAAUCGUCCGCAAUGGACGGAAGUCUGACGGAGCAACGCCGCGUGAGGGAUGACGGCCUUCGGGUUGGAAAGCUCUGUUAAUCGGGACGCGGUACCGGAAUAGAAAGCCACGGCUAACUACGUGCCAGCAGCCGCGGUAAUUC
rnacentral:rRNA from 1 species